rnacentral:rRNA from 1 species
AGAGCGAACGCUAGCGGCGAGCUUAACACAUGCAAGUCGAGCGCAUUGCUUCGGCAAUGAGCGGCGGACGGGUGAGUAACACGUAGGUGAUCUACCCUCUGGUGGGGAAUAACCCGGGGAAACCCGGGCUAAUACCGCAUAGGGCCCAUCAUCCGUUUGAUGGGUCAAAGCCUUCGGGCGCCAGAGGAUGAGCCUGCGUCGCAUUACCUGGUUGGUGGGGUAAUGGCCUACCAAGGGGACGAUGCGUAGCUGGUCUGAGAGGAUGAUCAGCCACACUGGGACUGAGACACGGCCCAGACUCCUACGGGAGGCAGCAGUGGGGAAUAUUGCGCAAUGGGCGAAAGCCUGACGCAGCUACGCCGCGUGGUGACGAAGGCCUUCGGGUUGUAAAGCUCUGUCGGGAGGGACGAAGAUCUGACGGUACCUCCCAAGAAACGCACCGGCUAACUCCGUGCCAGCAGCCGC